rnacentral:tRNA from 1 species
AUUAGCUCAGUUGGUUAGAGCACCUGACUCUUAAUCAGGGUGUCCAGGGUUCGAAUCCCUG